rnacentral:rRNA from 1 species
UACGUAGGGGGCAAGCGUUGUCCGGAAUCAUUGGGCGUAAAGCGCGUGUAGGCGGCUUGGUAAGUCUGCUCUGAAAGCCCGGGGCUCAACCCCGGGAGGCGGGUGGAUACUGUUAAGCUCGAGUCCGGAAGAGGAGUGUGGAAUUCCUGGUGUAGCGGUGAAAUGCGCAGAUAUCAGGAGGAACACCGAUGGCGAAGGCAGCUCGCUGGGACGUAACUGACGCUGAGACGCGAAAGCGUGGGGAGCAAACAGG